GUAACAUUCGACACUAUAGCUGUUGACGCCAGAGAUAGUAGGGCGGCUUCUCGUACAAUUUAGAGAAGUCGUUAUGCCUGCUAGUCGAGCAGCCAACCACCGGUCGGGGGGCUGCCGGCAAGACGACCUGGUACGGGGAAGGCCUUCAUUUCUGUCUAAGGGACAGGGCUAAUCCGGUGGCGAGCUUGCAGUAGGGUGACYUCUGCAAAGCCGUCGUAACGCACGGUAAGGCGUCGGCUGGUCUCUGCUUGCAGAGUCGGCUUAAGGGACGUGCUAAACCCAUCCGAUGAUAAAGGAUGCCACAAACUUUAGAACCCGACCAUCSMARGUUUGUGGGGGCCAUGGCGCYARGARGAAAUGCCUAGCACCSARUCCSGUAUYCAAUUG
rnacentral:rRNA from 1 species